GCAUAGUCAUGGACUGCUCAGAAGAAACCGCAACUCACGCCUCGUGGUGUCCCACUGUUCCUGAAGACAAAACAGUGCCUUGGGCAUGGUCGCUGUCCGAGGUGCUGAAGGAAAGGGCCAAUUGGAUUCCAACCAGUUUUACUAAUUUUUCCGGUGGAUAAAUACAUUUUUUGUUUCAAAAGGAGAGUACAAUGAAUAGGCUAUUGACCACAAAAAAUGUAUUUUGUUUUGUUUUCAAUAACUGAUUUUCACAGAUUGAUGGACAAAUAUAACAGAAUAAAAUCUUACACCACUAGGAAUAAUGAUGAUGAUCCCAAUGGUUCUAAGGGAAUAACAUUUGCUUUGUUGUAUGAAUCAUUCAUUAAAGAGCCAUCCACAGAUUA